rnacentral:rRNA from 1 species
AGCGAACGCUGGCGGCAUGCUUAACACAUGCAAGUCGCACGGGCAGCUUCGGCUGUCAGUGGCGGACGGGUGAGUAACGCGUAGGUAUCUAUCCUUGGGUGGGGGACAACCGUGGGAAACUACGGCUAAUACCGCAUGAUAACUGAGGUUUAAAGGCGCAAGUCGCCUGAGGAGGAGCCUGCGUACGAUUAGCUAGUUGGUGGGGUAAAGGCCUACCAAGGCGACGAUCGUUAGCUGGUCUGAGAGGAUGAUCAGCCACAUUGGGACUGAGACACGG